rnacentral:lncRNA from 1 species
CAGUAAAAAGUUUUCUCUAUGGAAUAUAUCAUUUCAUCUCCAACAUAAAACACUCAAGAAGAGACUGAGGCAGAGCAAGGAUUCUGUGGGUCAAGAAUUCAGUCAAGGCACACUUCAAGGGACUGGACACCGAAGUGUUUCAAUCAGACUAUAAGAAGGCUGAGCUGAAGACUAGAAUUAGCUGAAGGCUGGCUCACUCACUUUUCUGGCAAUUGAUGUUUGCUGUUGUCCAAGGUCCACCUGGGGCCUCUCCAGUAGCCUGAACUUUACAGUAAGUGGUUGAGUUCCCAGAGUAAGAAAGAGGGUCAAACAGAUGCCAUGUCC